UACAUGGGGGGCAAACGUUGCUCGGAAUUAUUGGGCGUAAAGCGCGCGUAGGCGGUUACUCAAGUCGGAUGUGAAAGCCCUCGGCUUAACUGAGGAAGUGCACCCGAAACUGAGUAGCUAGAGUACUAAAGAGGGUCGCGGAAUUCCCGGUGUAGAGGUGAAAUUCGUAGAUAUCGGGAGGAAGGCCGGUGGCGAAGGCGGCGCUCUGGAACAUUUCUGACGCUGAGGCUCGAAAGCGUGGGGAGCAAACAGG
rnacentral:rRNA from 1 species